rnacentral:rRNA from 1 species
GGAGUCUGGGCCGUGUCUCAGUCCCAAUGUGGCCGUUCACCCUCUCAGGCCGGCUACUGAUCGUCGGUUUGGUGAGCCGUUACCUCACCAACUGCCUAAUCAGACGCGGGGCCAUCUCAUUCCACCGGAGUUUUUCACACUGUGUGAUGCCACACCGUGCGCUUAUGCGGUAUUAACAGCCGUUUCCGACUGGUAUCCCCCGGAAUGAGGCAGGUUCCCCACGCGUUACUCACCCGUCCGCCACUCGCCAGCGCCAGUCUUCACCCCGAAGGGAUCCGUCCGACAAGGCUCGUUCGACUUGCAUGUGUUAAGCACGCCGCCAGCGUUCAUC